rnacentral:sRNA from 1 species
AGCCAUAUUCGUCACAAUGCAACCUAACAACUUGCCUUAAUCUAUUCAAGCAUUCACAUCAACCAAUACCCUUUAACAUUCAUUAAGCACGAACAGUGGAUCAAGCAAUGCAAUGGUUUUGUACUCACUUGGUUUCGGGCUUAGGCUAAGAGACAAAAAUGGUCCCUCUCAUCAUUGGUCGAGUAACAAAGACUCUCAGAGAAAAGAUUGAGCUUGAGCAGAAUGCUAAAGGUAAAAGCCAAUGGACACAUACAAGAACAGACUCCCAUCUACCCAAUGAUAUAGUAUGAUAGCUCAAAAGAUGAUCCCUGUCCCAUAGAUGUCCUAACUUUACCAUUUUUCCCAUUCUUUCUCUCUUUUGGUUCAAGUUCUAAAGGGUUCUUUUUU